CAGAGCCCUCUUUGUCUUUGUCUGUCUCUUCCUCCCUAUAACUCCUCUGUCAAACUCCUGUUAGCUCUUCCUGUCUGCUCACUCUGUUCCUUUGCUCUCUGAAAGCUGGCUCGCUUGUAUCUCAUCUAGACCAGCUGACACAGCGCUCCCUGCUCUGCUCAGACCCAAGGCACAUUACAACAAUGAAGAAGAAGAAGAAGAAGAAGAAGAAGAAGAAGAAAGGAACAUAGGGAGCUGCCUAAUUGCCAGAGUAAAGAGGUGCAUCUUCAGCAUACAACAAAAACAACAUAAUGAAGGUACCAGACACACAUCUGAGGAGAGGAAAUUCUACAGAUAAUGGGCUCCCAUAGAGAAUAACCUAUCAUGGGUCACUCCCCUCAACUUCUGAAGGUGUUGGAACUGCACCUGAGAGGGUCUGUAUGGAAGGAGGUGGCCCAAGUAAUGAACUUGCAACCAGUCAGUUGUGGCUGGUAGCUCCAUGUCAGUAGGGUAGUGGAAUCCUGCUCCAGAUUUUAGUCUGAACUUUCAAGGAGCUG